rnacentral:rRNA from 1 species
CCUACGGGAGGCAGCAGUGAGGAAUAUUGGUCAAUGGACGAGAGUCUGAACCAGCAAAGUAGCGUGAAGGAUGACUGCCCUAUGGGUUGUAAACUUCUUUUAUAAAGGAAUAAAACGAGGCACGUGUGCCUUUUUGCAUGUACUUUAUGAAUAAGGAUCGGCUAACUCCGUGCCAGCAGCCGCGGUAAUCCGGAGGAUCCGAGCGUUAUCCGGAUUGAUUGGGUUUAAAGGGAGCGUAGAUGGGUUGUUAAGUCAGUUGUGAAAGUUUGCGGCGCAACCGUAAAAUUGCAAUUGAUACUGGCAGUCUUGAGUACAGUUGAGGUAAGCGGAAUUCGUGGUGUAGCGGUGAAAUGCUUAGAUAUCACGAAGAACCCCGAUUGCGAAGGCAGCUUACUAAACUGUGACUGACAUUGAUGCUCGAAAGUGUGGGUAUCAAACAGGAUUAGAUACCCCAGUAGUC